CAUGUAAGAUUGUGUACAAACAAGCACGAUCAUUGCAGUGUGGCGACAGGGACAUUUAAGUGAAAGGUUUACAGAAAAAGCAGCACAACACGUGAAGAGAACAAGGACGCAAAAAGAGGACAGACUGACAUCCGGUUCUCAGAAGAUUGACAGCAUAUUUCAGGUGUAACAGAUACUCCAGCGGGUGACAGCACAUUACAGGAACCAGAAAUACUUGAAAGAUGCAGCUGGCGGUCAUCCUCCUUGCUAUCUUCAUGUGUGCCACUGCCAUGGCUGGUCAACAGGUGCCUAAACAACCACCCAUGCAUCAAUCAUCUCCUGGUAAAAGUGAAAAACACACAGCGGAGAGAGAACGUCCCAACAGAAGAUACACCUGCCAUUUCUUAUGUCUCUCUGAGCAAAAUCCUAGAGAGUGUUUUAAAAGGAGAGGGGAGGAGGCUUUUGUUUGUUUUGGACAAGUACUAGAAAAUCGUAUGUCCUGUCUUAAUCAUUGCAGCCAUCAUUAGCCUGAUACCGAUGGUUGUACAUAUCGCAUACCAUAUGUUGCGAUAACAGUUGGAGCCAUGAGUAUCACGACGGUUGUGUAUGUUGCAUACUAUGUGCUGACAUAAGAGGACUUGGAGAAAUGAGUAUCAAGACGGUUGUGUAUGUUGCAUACCAUAUGCUGAGAUAAGAGACUUGGAGCAAUGAGUAUCAAGACGGUUGUGUAUGUUGCAUACCAUAUGCUGAGAUAAGAGGAUUUGGAGCAAUGAGUAUCAAGACGGUUGUGUAUGUUGCAUACCAUGUGCUGAGUUAAGAGGACUUGGAGCAAUGAGUAUCAAGACGGUUGUGUAUGUUGCAUACCAUAUGCUGAGAUAAGAGACUUGGAGCCAUGAGUAUCAAGACGGUUGUGUAUGUUGCAUACCAUAUGCUGAGAUAAGAGGAUUUGGAGCAAUGAGUAUCAAGACGGUUGUGUAUGUUGCAUACCAUAUGCUGAUAUAAGAGGACUUGGAGCAAUGAGUAUCAAGACGGUUGUGUAUGUUGCAUACCAUUUGCUGAGAUAAGAGGAUUUGGAGCAAUGAGUAUCAAGAUGGUUGUGUAUGUUGCAUACCAUGUUCUGAGAUAAGAGGACUUGGAGAAAUGAGUAUCAAGACGGUUGUGUAUGUUGCAUACCAUGUUCUGAGAUAAGAGGACUUGGAGAAAUGAGUAUCAAGACGGUUGUGUAUGUUGCAUACCAUAUGCUGAGAUAAGAGGAUUUGGAGAAAUGAGUAUCAAGACGGUUGUGUAUGUUGCAUACCAUUUGCUGAGAUAAGAGGAUUUGGAGCAAUGAGUAUCAGGACGGUUGUGUAAGUUGCAUACCAUAUGCAAAGAUAAGAGGACUUGGAGAAAUGAGUAUCAAGACGGUUGUGUAUGUUGUAUACCAUGUUCUGAGAUCAGAGGAUUUGGAGAAAUGAGUAUCAAGACGGUUGUGUAUGUUGCAUACCAUGUGCUUAGAUGGACCAACGAGUAUCAGACGUUUGCCUAAUCUUGCUACCAAUUCCCUUCAGUAUAAAUCUUUGGCCACAACAAAUUAGUCAGCAUUGAAAAUGUCUCUGCAGCACCAAGUAUAACAUAAUAUUAUUUUAAAAGAA
rnacentral:lncRNA from 1 species